rnacentral:rRNA from 1 species
AAUGAACGUUGGCGGCGUGGAUUAGGCAUGCAAGUCGAGCGAGAACCCCGCAAGGGGGGACAGCGGCGCAAGGGACAGUAAUGUGUAGAUCAUCUGCCCUCAGGUCCGGGAUAGCUGCGGGAAACUGCAGGUAAUACCGGAUAACAUCUCCGGAUCAAAGGUGUGAUUCCGCCUGAGGAUGAGCCUGCAUCCUAUUAGCUAGUUGGCAGGGUAACGGCCUACCAAGGCAUUGAUGGGUAGCGGGUGUGAGAGCACGACCCGCGUCAUUGGGACUGAGACACUGCCCAGACACCUACGGGGGGCUGCAGUGGAGAAUCUUCGGCAAUGGGCGCAAGCCUGACCGAGCGACGCCGCGUGUGGGAUGAAGGCCUUCGGGUUGUAAACCACUGUCAGAGGGGAUGAAAUGCAGGUGGGUUCUCCCAUCUGUUUGACAUAGCCUCAGAGGAAGGACGGGCUAAGUUCGUGCCAGCCGCCGCGGUAA